CAGCCGCCGCGGGAAUACGGAGGGUGCAAGCGUUAUCCGGAUUUAUUGGGUUUAAAGGGUCCGUAGGCGGAUCUGUAAGUCAGUGGUGAAAUCUCACAGCUUAACUGUGAAACUGCCAUUGAUACUGCAGGUCUUGAGUAAAUUUGAAGUGGCUGGAAUAAGUAGUGUAGCGGUGAAAUGCAUAGAUAUUACUUAGAACACCAAUUGCGAAGGCAGGUCACUAAGAUUUAACUGACGCUGAUGGACGAAAGCGUGGGGAGCGAACAGGAUUAGAGACCCCGGUAGUCCCUGUCUCUUAUAC
rnacentral:rRNA from 1 species